UCCUCCCUUGCUUCGAUUCUUUUUUUUUUCCGAAAGUUCUCUUGCUUCGUUUGGUCAUCACCAAACCAAGAACUGUGACACAGCGGCAUCGAUCCACUCUAAACACAACAAGAUAGAAAGGCAAGAGAAAAUAACAGAAACAGACAAAGAAUUAAGCAUACAAACACACGGAGCAGAAACCAGAAUCGACUAAAUUAAUCGUCACCUAACGAUGCAUCACAUAUCAUCAACUGCCUAACGACACCAAUAGAUGGCGUUUGGCUGCGAAUCCACGUCAAAGAUCACAAUUAGUCCCGUCAGUCUCUUUGCUUAAUAUAGGCACAUGGAAACCGAGCAAAGACGUUCCUGAUUUCUUUUCUACAGAACGAACUAAAUUUGAUUCCACUUCUAUGCAUGGCUGCUCAUCCAUCGAUCCAAUUGGAAUUAUUAUAAUCGUUCCGGGUUCUUGUCUUCUCCUACGUAUCAUCUGCUCUCCUCUGGCCGUGCGGGUCGGGGGGUCCCAUACUCCCAUGGCUUCACAUGGACGCGGCAAGGAGGCGCAGAGCUCAUCACGCCGGUCGUUCUGACGCGCUUCUGAAAUUUUGACGAAACCCGAGAGGGAGCCCAGCCAAGCCAAGGCGCGGCAAUAACAAUAAUGGAGCCGGGCAGGGCGGCGCAGGCGGCGGCGACGAGGCGGAAGAAGAUGACGAAGCAGCUGACGGGGAAGCGCGACGACACGGCGCUGCACGCGGCUGCGCGCGCCGGGCAGCUGGCGGCCGUGCGGGAGACGCUGUCCGGCGCCGCGCCCGAGGAGCUGCGCGCGCUGCUGUCGAAGCAGAACACGGCCGGGGAGACGCCGCUGUUCGUGGCCGCCGAGUACGGGUACGUGGCCCUGGUGUCCGAGAUGAUCAAGUACCACGACGUGGCCACCGCCGGCAUCAAGGCCCGCAGCGGCUACGAUGCCCUCCACAUCGCCGCCAAGCAAGGCGAUGUAGAGGUGGUGAAGGAGCUGCUGGGGGCGCUGCCGGAGCUGGCGAUGACGGUGGACGCGUCGAACACGACGGCGCUGAACACGGCGGCGACGCAGGGCCACGCGGAGGUGGUGAGGCUGCUGCUGGGGGUGGAAGGGAGCCAGAGCCUGGCGCUCAUCGCGAGGAGCAACGGCAAGACGGCGCUGCACUCGGCGGCCAGGAACGGGCACGUGGAGGCGGUGAGGGCGCUGCUGGAGGCGGAGCCCAGCAUCGCGCUCAGGGUGGACAAGAAGGGCCAGACGGCGCUGCACAUGGCAGCCAAGGGCACCAGCCUCGACCUCGUCGACGCGCUCCUCGGCGCCGACCCCUCGCUGCUCAACCUCCCCGACACCAAGGGCAACACCGCGCUCCACAUCGCCGCACGCAAGGCGCGACACCAGAUCAUCAAGCGGCUGCUGGAGAUGCCGGACACGGACCUGAAGGCGAUCAACCGUGCCGGCGAGACGCCGCUGGACACGGCGGAGAAGAUGGGCAACGGCGAGGUGUCCGGUGCUCUGGCGGAGGGCGGCGUCCAGUCCGCCCGCGACCUGAACCCGGCGGGCGGCGGCGGCAAGCAGGCGCGGGAGCUGAAGCAGGAGGUGAGCGACAUCAAGCACGAGGUGCACUCGCAGCUGGAGCAGACGCGUCAGACCCGCGUCCGGAUGCAAGGGAUCGCCAAGCGGAUCAACAAGCUCCACGAGGAAGGCCUGAACAACGCCAUCAACUCCACGACGGUCGUGGCCGUGCUGAUCGCCACGGUAGCCUUCGCGGCCAUCUUCACGGUUCCCGGGGAGUACGUGGACGCCGACAGCCUAGGGCCCGGGCAGGAGCUCGGGGAAGCCAACAUCGCCCACGAGACACCCUUCAUCAUCUUCUUCGUGUUCGACUCCGUGGCGCUCUUCAUCUCGCUGGCCGUGGUGGUGGUGCAGACCUCCGUGGUGGUGAUCGAGCGAAAGGCCAAGAAGCAGAUGAUGGCGGUGAUCAACAAGCUCAUGUGGGUGGCGUGCGUGCUGGUGAGCGUGGCGUUCCUGGCGCUGUCGUUCGUGGUGGUCGGGAGGGCGGAGCGGUGGCUGGCCGUGGCGGUCACCAUCAUGGGGGCGACCAUCCUGGUCACCACCAUCGGCACCAUGCUCUACUGGGUCAUCGCGCACCGGAUCGAGGCCAAGCGGCUGCGCAACAUCAAGCGCUCCUCGAUGAGCCGCUCCAGGUCGCAGUCGGGGUCAGGGGGACUCUCCGAGAGCGAGUGGAUCGACGAGGAGUGCAAGAAGAUGUAUGCCAUCUGACCAUCGUACAGAUACUCUGUCUGCGCGGGGAUGCAUCAUUAACUUGACACUAAAUUUUGAUGGAACGGAGGAGCUUCGGUGGCAGGAUGUUGACCUAGAAGAUGUGAUGGAGAGUACAGGAUGCUUUGGGCGCAAGAAGGCGAUGGCUGAGCACAGUAGGCAAGAAGCAGAAAGGUUAAAGCUAGAAUUUGAACUUGCAUUCCAGGACAUGGUCAUCACUGACCUGGAAGAUGAUCUUGAGGCAGAGAAGAGAAAGAAAGAGAAGCUUGAAUUAGAGAUGCAGGAGAUGAAGAAGAUUGCUGUAAUUUCUGUGUUGGUUGCCUUUGUUGCAUCAGUAGUGUGGCUUAUGUAUCCUGAGAUGUAAGGUUCUGUUCUGUAAGUUGAGGUUUAGAAUCUUGGAAUGUGAACUGGAAUGUUGUGUUCUCUGACUGGAAUGUACAUGUGCUUGUU